GGGGCAGAAAACUGUCCCGGCCCGGCGGUGAUUGGCCGCGGCCCCAGCGGGCCCCUCGCACCCGCCCCUCCCCUCGCGGCCGAAACCGGAGCCCCGUUCGGCCGCCCGGGACCCGCCCCGCGCCCCCGCCAUCUGCGCCGGGGGGCGGGGCGCAGGCCGGAGUCGGAUUCCCGCCCAGCCCCCAUAGGCUGGCACUCCGCGCAGCCCGACAACCUGUGCACCCACUGCCCUCAGCCCCGCCCCCGACCCAGCCGCGCGCGGGUCCCCAAGGGCCCAGGCAGAGGGGCCUCCCCGCACGCCCCGCGGGGAGGCCGGAAGGGCACGGUUCCCCGGCACUGGAGGGCCAGGUUGCCCACCUAGAAAGGCGGUAGGGCCCAGGAAGCCGCCCGUUGCGGGAGCCUGGCCCGGGCCUCGUGGCUAGACUGGGAGAGGGGGUCAGAGAACAGGAGACACUCAGAGAGGACUGGCCAGGGGUGAAAGGAGUGGAGGAGGGCGCGGGCUGGAGGACGGCCCAGAAAAGGGGUGGUUGGAUGACCUGAGGCCCGGGCUACCCAAACCUGGCAGCUUCGGGAGUCACUGGGGCUGAUGGCGGCGCCAGAACACCAGACAGGGUCCUGGCAGGGCUUGGGGUAGGAGAGGAAGUUAAUUGAGUUCACUGCCAGCCAGGCCACGCUUCGAGCUUAAGAAUUUACGUGAUGAGGGGCCUUCUCAAUCCCAUCCCUCUUGCCCAGCUGCCUGGGAGGUGAGAGAGAAGGGGUGGGGCGAGGGACUCGGGCCACCAAUCACAGCCUCGGCUCCGGUUUGAAUCUGGGCCGGCGGCUGGGGCUGGCUGCACACCUGGCAGCCUCUUUGUCCCCACUUGCCUGCCUAGACACGUCCCACUCCACCCCCACCCUUGGAAGGCUCUCCCCUACCCACCUGGUUUCCCUCCUCUUCUGGUUCCCCUAGCUGAGACCGACGCUGGACCCUUGUCUUCCCCCGGAGCACUGGUGACUCCAAACCAUGCCGCUCUCUCAGCCCCCUUCUCCGCUCUGCACGGAGACCUAAGCUGUGGGCUGUAGCGGCCUCCAUCGCCCCAAGAUGGCCACCAAGAACCAGGGGUGCUGGGAGUGGAGGGGGUAGGAGCCCAAGAGUUGCAGCAGAGGGCCAGUCGAGGCACGGGCUAUGUGAAGCUAGGGCAAGCUCCUCAUCUCUCAAGUGGCGCCUGCACUGUCAGGUUGUUGUGAGGAUUAAAUGAGAUCCCGUCGCUUUGUGAGACCGAAGCCUCGAAGUGUGUGUGGGAAAGGAGGGGAUGUUAUCAUCCUGUCCCAUGCCGGACAGUAGGGCAGCCAGAGAGGGUGGGUGAAACUCCCCUGUCCUGCCCUGGGAGCAAGGACCGAGGUGCCACGUUGGAUGGCAGACAACAGCCUGGUGCCAUUCCCCUGGAGCCCAGAGCCCCCUAGACUCUGAACAGAAGAGAGCCUGAGUUUAGGGUACCUGGCCUCACGCCAUCCCCAGGCUCUCCAGGAAAGAUGGGGCAGAGGGAUCUAGGGGUGAUUCUUUUUUAUGUUCAGCCCUAAGGGUAUCAAGUCCUCUCCCCGGUCAAGACCAGAGGGCAGGCCAGGGGACUAUAGACUUCUCCCUUGAGAUGCCCCACACACCCCUAUCCUCUCCCAAAUCUGCUUUCCCAUCCACUGCUCUCCACCCCCUCGCUCCCCCAGCGCUGGUUUGAAAUUGGUCACCGAGACCCUCCAGGCUGCUUCUUUAAUGUCUCUCUAAUGUCUUCUUUCUACGCCUCCACUGCUAUCCUAGUCACAGCUGGGACCAUGGGACAGCCUCCACCUGACCAGUAUCGCCCUGCCACCAGGCUGCCCCUUCUACAGCCAGCGUGCAAAGCAAACUAAGUCUUGUUUCCCUACUAAAGUUCUCUAGUGGCUCCCUGCUGCCUCCAGGAUCCCCUGAUUGGACCUACCAGGGGGUCCAGUAACUGGGUAAGCCCAUACUCUGCAACCAGCCGGCUCAUGAUUUAAUCCUGAGGCCAUUCCUUGUUAGCUGUGCCUUGGUUUCCCAAUGUGUAAAGUGGGGAUGUGUUCCCAACAUCUGGGGAUAACAACUGGGCAGUGUUCCAAGUGCUUUACGCAUAAUCACACUUACCCAUUUAAGCCUUGUAGCAACUCUAUGAGGUGACUACCAUGCUUGCCCUACUGCACCCACAAUGCCCACAAUACCCACAAUAAAAGUAGAAUAAUGGGAAAGCCAAGUUCAUAUAGUUGUGGAUUACAUGAGCUAGUGCAUGUCAAAAUCUAGAAGAACUUGGAGCCCGGCUGGUCGUGCUCAGUACACUCUAGCUGUGAUUUUUGACCCAGCCCCUCCUGCCAACACCUUUGCCCAUCUGACCUCCAGUCCACUGAAGCAUAGGAGCUGGACUGUGCACCCAAGAGGUCAAGAGGUCAAGUGUGUCUACACAUGGCGGCAGCAGUUUCUUUUUUCAGAUGCACUGAACACCGUGAUGCUCUGGGACCCUGGGAGCCUGCCUUCUUAGAACACACGGUCACACAGACCGGGACCAUGAAGACGGACAUUGAAGGAAGCAGAUUUCAAUUCUAUUGAAGACAUAACACACAGAAGAAGUACAUUCCCUGCCACUGGAAGUAAUCCAGGAACAAAGGAGGGGAGAUGUCUGCUUUAGGUGUUGAGGUGACAGAGACGACCGCUAAGAUCACUUCUAACUUGGGGUGGCCUGGGUGGCUCAACCGAUUAAGGUCUGACUUCAGCUGAGGUCAUGAACUCAAGUCAUGAUCUCACGGUUCAUGAGUUGCAGCCCCGAAAGCCCACUUCAGAUCCUCUGUCUCCCUCUCU